GGCGGACGGGUGAGUAACGCGUGGGUAACUGCCUCAUACAGGGGGAUAACAGUUGGAAACGGCUGCUAAUACCGCAUAAGCGCACAGUACCGCAUGGUACGGUGUGAAAAACUCCGGUGGUAUGAGAUGGACCCGCGUCUGAUUAGGUAGUUGGUGGGGUAACGGCCUACCAAGCCGACGAUCAGUAGCCGACCUGAGAGGGUGAACGGCCACAUUGGGACUGAGACACGGCCCAA
rnacentral:rRNA from 1 species